rnacentral:rRNA from 1 species
GACGUAGGGCGCGAGCGUUGUCCGGAUUUAUUGGGCGUAAAGAGCUCGUAGGCGGCUUGUCGCGUCGACCGUGAAAACUUGGGGCUCAACUCCAAGCGUGCGGGCGAUACGGGCAGACUUGAGUACUACAGGGGAGACUGGAAUUCCUGGUGUAGCGGUGAAAUGCGCAGAUAUCAGGAGGAACACCGGUGGCGAAGGCGGGUCUCUGGGUAGUAACUGACGCUGAGGAACGAAAGCGUGGGUAGCGAACAGG